rnacentral:tRNA from 1 species
UAGCUCAGUAGUAGGGCCCCCGCUUCGUAUGCGGGAAGAUCUGGGUUCGAUUCCCGG